CACACACACACACACACACACACACACACACACACACACACACACAGGGGUUAGAUUUGAGAUCAUAAAUAUAUUGCCCUUUUACAAUGUAACUGGGAUUAAGGGCUAUGCUAUAAAAUUGAGAAUUUGAAAUGUUUUAACCCUAAAAUUGACAUGUUUCCCAUAUGAAUUUUGCGUCGCAUUUGACAGCCUUCCAUAACAUUUCUUCAGAAUGUAUCAAAUGCAUCUGCAUUUUAGUCAAACAAAAAUGUUUAAUUAUGGCUUAAACAUCCUGCAUCCUCCUCUGCAGUAUGUGUAAGUGUGUGCGUGCUCGUGCGUGUGUAUGUGUGUGUGUGUGUGUGUGUGCCCAGCUGGCUGUAGGACUAUGGGAAGGCUCACCUGUCCAUUCGGACCAGCUCGUGUGCACCUGGGAAGGAGAGAGGAAAGAGGAAACGGUCCAUUGUGAGUGAACUGGAUCACAAAAGAAACAGGACAUAUACCGUGUGAACGGGUUUUCCUCCAAAACCACCAAUGUCACAGGAAGUGUGCGUGCGCAACACACAAGCUCUGCUGUGGAUACCGCACGUGGACACGUGGUCGGUGUGUGUUUAUGUUUGUGCGCCUCCAACGCUCACGUCUGCUGGACCUGUGAUGCUGCCUCUGUUUGUAGACCAGGAGCAUGAUGAGCGGCAGAGAAAGGAGCGCCACAAUGCAGGCAGUGGUGGCCAGAGCGGCAGCCACGGAGCCUGUAGACGCAAGAGACACCCCGUACGUUAGGAACGGCCUGUCCCGCCGGCGUGGAUUGGCUGCCACGCGAGGCGAUGGAUCGGAACGCGGAACAUACUUUCAGUCGGCUGUGGAUCCCACAUGGUGCAUUCCUGAGAUGCGUUGAUGUUUGCCCCUUGAAGGAGAAGAGGAGAGAAGUAUAGUUCUGAAUUGGCACGUUGAACAAUGCAGGAAUCACAAUAAAAUACAGUAUAAGUUCUAAAAAUUGGUGGGCCGACUAUUAAUUGCUGUCAUUAUAAGAGAACCCUUCGAUAAGAACAAGGGCUUUCAGUAGUUAGUUACAAUGCUAGAGGCUGUAUUGGUUUAUACUCAGUAUCGGCCGAUUCUCAAGUCCAGGAA